rnacentral:rRNA from 1 species
UACGUAGGUCCCGAGCGUUGUCCGGAUUUAUUGGGCGUAAAGCGAGCGCAGGUGGUUUAUUAAGUCUGGUGUAAAAGGCAGUGGCUCAACCAUUGUAUGCAUUGGAAACUGGUAGACUUGAGUGAAGGAGAGGAGAGUGGAAUUCCAUGUGUAGCGGUGAAAUGCGUAGAUAUAUGGAGGAACACCGGUGGCGAAAGCGGCUCUCUGGCCUGUAACUGACACUGAGGCUCGAAAGCGUGGGGAGCAAACAGG